rnacentral:tRNA from 1 species
GCCCCCAUUCUAAUGGUUUAGGACAUCUCUCUUUCAAGGAGGCAACGGGGAUUUGAAUUCCCCUGGGUGUA